UACCAGCACCCCGAGUGGUCGGGACGUUUAUUGGGCCUAAAGCAUCCGUGGCCGGUUCUACAAGUCUUCCGUUAAAUCCACCUACUUAACAGAUGGGCUGCGGAAGAUACUAUAGAGCUAGGAGGCGGGAGAGGCAAGCGGUACUCGAUGGGUAGGGGUAAAAUCCGUUGAUCCAUUGAAGACCACCAGUGGCGAAGGCGGCUUGCCAGAACGCGCUCGACGGUGAGGGAUGAAAGCUGGGGGAGCAAACCGG
rnacentral:rRNA from 1 species